rnacentral:misc_RNA from 1 species
GAGCAGGUCUGUCCGAGCGUCCGCCAAUCGACGAAAGCGUUGUCGUCCGAGAGACGGCAAGAGUGAGGAGCUGCAACGAGGCGUCCGCGCCGUGCGCUGCACUCCUUGAAGAGACACGCCCGUGGACUGCGACGCGGCGGUCCGACGAGAUGUCGUCGCGACAUCGUGAACGGUUGCGGCGAUGCAUCCCGUGCGUACCCCGCGGCGGAGUCGGCGGCAAGACAAAUCAGGAAGCGACCAUCUGGACCUCGGAUCAGGCCA